AUUGAACGCUGGCGGCAGGCCUAACACAUGCAAGUCGAACGAGUGGCGGACGGGUGAGUAAUGUCUGGGAAACUGCCUGAUGGAGGGGGAUCACUACUGGAAACGGUAGCUAAUACCGCAUACCAUCGGAUGUGCCCAGAUGGGAUUAGCUAGUAGGUGGGGAAAAGGCUCACCUAGGCGACGAUCCCUAGCUGGUCUGAGAGGAUGACCAGCCACACUCGAACUUAUCCACGGUCCAGACUCCUACGUGCGGCAGCAGUGGGGAAUGUUGCACAAAGGGCACAAGCCUGAUGCAGCCAUGCCGCGUGUAUGAAGAAGGCCUUCGGGUGGUAAAGUACUUUCAGCGGGGAGGCGUUACCCGCAGAAGAAGCACCGGCUAACUCCGUGCCAGCAGCCGCGGUAAUAC
rnacentral:rRNA from 1 species